rnacentral:tRNA from 1 species
GCCUGCGGGACUACAUGGUAGAGCGCCCGCCUGAGACGGCGGGAGGUCGGCGGUUCGCAUCCGCCCCCGGGACA